rnacentral:rRNA from 1 species
CAGGCCUUGACAUCCCGGUCGCGGCCCCUUGAAAGAGGGGCUUUCAGUUCGGCUGGACCGGUGACAGGUGCUGCAUGGCUGUCGUCAGCUCGUGUCGUGAGAUGUUGGGUUAAGUCCCGCAACGAGCGCAACCCUCGCCCUUAGUUGCCAUCAUUUAGUUGGGCACUCUAAGGGGACUGCCGGUGAUAAGCCGCGAGGAAGGUGGGGAUGACGUCAAGUCCUCAUGGCCCUUACGGCCUGGGCUACACACGUGCUACAAUGGCGGUGACAAUGGGCAGCAAUGGCGCGAGCCGGAGCUAAUCUCAAAAAGCCGUCUCAGUUCGGAUUGCACUCUGCAACUCGGGUGCAUGAAGUUGGAAUCGCUAGUAAUCGUGGAUCAGCACGCCACGGUGAAUACGUUCCC